GAUGAACGCUGGCGGCGUGCCUAAUACAUGCAAGUCGAGCGAACAGACGAGGAGCUUGCUCCUCUGACGUUAGCGGCGGACGGGUGAGUAACACGUGGAUAACCUACCUAUAAGACUGUGAUAACUUCGGGAAACCGGAGCUCAUACCGGAUAAUAUAUUGAACCGCAUGGUUCAAUAGUGAAAGACGGUUUUGCUGUCACUUAUAGAUGGAUCCGCGCCGCAUUAGCUCGUUGGUAAGGUAACGGCUUACCAAGGCAACGAUGCGUAGCCGACCUGAGAGGGUGAUCGGCCACACUGGAACUGAGACAAGGUCCAGACUCCUACGGGAGGCAGCAGUAGGGAAUCUUCCGCAAUGGGCGAAAGCCUGACGGAGCAACGCCGCGUGAGUGAUGAAGGUCUUCGGAUCGUAAAACACUGUUAUUAGGGAAGAACAAAUGUGUAAGUAACUAUGCACGUCUUGACGGUACCUAAUCAGAAAGCCACGGCUAACUACGUG
rnacentral:rRNA from 1 species